rnacentral:rRNA from 1 species
AAUGAACGUUGGCGGCGUGGAUUAGGCAUGCAAGUCGCGCGACAAGGAACCUUCGGGUUCUGGAGGAGCGGCAAACGGGGUAGUAAGGCAUCGGAACGUACCCUCUUGUUGGGAAUAGCCGCGGGAAACUGCGAGUAAUGCCCAAUAAUCCCUACGGGGCAAAGGUCCGCCGCAGGAGGAGCGGCCGAUGUGAUACCAGCUAGUUGGUGAGGUAAUGGCUCACCAAGGCUUAGACGUCUAGGGGGUGUGAGAGCAUGGCCCCCACCACUGGGACGUGAGAUACUGCCCAGACACCUACGGGUGGCUGCAGUCGAGAAUCUUCGGCAAUGGGCGGCAAGCCUGACCGAGCAACGCCGCGUGCGGGA